rnacentral:rRNA from 1 species
UACGGAGGGUGCAAGCGUUGUCCGGAUUUAUUGGGUUUAAAGGGUGCGUAGGCGGUCCUUUAAGUCAGUGGUGAAAGCCAACAGCUCAACUGUUGAACUGCCAUUGAUACUGGAGGACUUGAGUACAGACGAGGUAGGCGGAAUUGACGGUAUAGCGGUGAAAUGCAUAGAUAUCGUCAAGAACACCGAUUGCGAAGGCAGCUUACUAGACUGUAACUGACGCUGAGGCACGAAAGUGUGGGGAGCGAACAGG